GUCUACAGCCAUGCCACCCUGAACAUGCUCGAUCUCGUCUGAUCUCCGAAGCUAAGCAGGGUCGGGCCUGGUUAGUACUUGGAUGGGAGACCACCUAGGAAAACCAGGUGCUGUAGGUG
rnacentral:rRNA from 1 species